CCUACGGGAGGCAGCAGUGAGGAAUAUUGGUCAAUGGCCGUAAGGCUGAACCAGCCAUGCCGCGUGAAGGAAGAAGGAUCUAUGGUUUGUAAACUUCUUUUAUAGGGGAAUAAAGGUAUCCACGUGUGGCUAUUUGCAUGUACCCUAUGAAUAAGCAUCGGCUAACUCCGUGCCAGCAGCCGCGGUAAUACGGAGGAUGCGAGCGUUAUCCGGAUUUAUUGGGUUUAAAGGGUGCGUAGGUUGUUUUUUAAGUCAGCGGUGAAAGUUUGUGGCUCAACCAUAAAAUUGCCGUUGAAACUGGAAGACUUGAGUGUAGUUGAGGUAGGCGGAAUGCGUGGUGUAGCGGUGAAAUGCAUAGAUAUCACGCAGAACUCCGAUUGCGAAGGCAGCUUACUAAGCCAUAACUGACACUGAAGCACGAAAGCGUGGGGAUCAAACAGGAUUAGAUACCCGAGUAGUC
rnacentral:rRNA from 1 species